CCUACGGGGCGCUGCAGUGGGGAAUAUUGCACAAUGGGCGCAAGCCUGAUGCAGCCAUGCCGCGUGUGUGAAGAAGGCCUUCGGGUUGUAAAGCACUUUCAGCGGGGAGGAAGGCGUUAAGGUUAAUAACCUUGUCGAUUGACGUUACCCACAGAAGAAGCACCGGCUAACUCCGUGCCAGCAGCCGCGGUAAUACGGAGGGUGCAAGCGUUAAUCGGAAUUACUGGGCGUAAAGCGCACGCAGGCGGUCUGUCAAGUCGGAUGUGAAAUCCCCGGGCGCAACCUGGGAACUGCAUUCGAAACUGGCAGGCUAGAGUCUUGUAGAGGGGGGUAGAAGUCCAGGUGUAGCGGUGAAAUGCGUAGAGAUCUGGAGGAAUACCGGUGGCGAAGGCGGCCCCCUGGACAAAGACUGACGCUCAGGUGCGAAAGCGUGGGGAGCAAACAGGAUUAGAUACCCUAGUAGUC
rnacentral:rRNA from 1 species